rnacentral:misc_RNA from 1 species
CGAUUUCCAUUUCGGCAAGGGCCGCGCGGGCUCGCCGUCGCUGCUCGCCAGCGAGAUGCCGAAGCUCGGUGUCGAGGUCCACGUCCAGGCUCACGUCGAUAUUCUGGAUCGCCCGGUCUCCUCCAGCGCGAUCCGCAUGGCGCUGGCCGAAGGCCAGGUCACCGAGGCGACUGCGAUGCUCGGCGCGCCGUGGUUCAUUUCGGGCGAGGUCAUUCACGGCGAGAAGCGCGGCCGCGAUAUGGGCUAUCCCACCGCCAACAUCCGUCUCGACAAGAACUGCGGCCUCAAGCAUGGC